CGACGACGUUGAUAGGCCGGGUGUGUAAGCGCAGCGAUGCGUUGAGCUAACCGGUACUAAUGAACCGUGAGGCUUAACCUUACAACGCCGAAGCUGUU
rnacentral:rRNA from 4 species